CAGUUCUACCGGCAUUCUGUUCGAACUCAAACAUCGGACACGAGCAUUUCGACCGAACUUUGGAACCGAACAUUUAACAACGAACGUGUGCUAAUCGAACAUCGAACUCAAUGUUCGAUCCCAUCUGCAACGAAGAUUUCUCAAAAUUCUCGCCCUUCAAACGUUAUACGUACCCGGUUUGUUGGACUGUUCGGAGGUGUAUAGUAGCAAGGUGGUUAUUUAACGCGAGUUAACCGAAUAAAUACAGUGGAGAAAAAAGAAAUACCGCGAAAUAGUCAUAGCCAGCAAAUGAAGAGCCGAAAGCGCUGUGAGACGCCCAAAGUUUGUAAUUAAACGCAAGUGGAGAAGCAAUGAAAAAUAUUAGUGUUAAGAAAGAAAAAUAAAUGAAAUAAGCAACAACAGAAUCAAUGCAUGAAAUAUAAGCGAGGAAGCACGAAGUGAGUAAAUAAAAUCAAAGAAGCGCAGCGACGCGCGUUAGCUAGUGAAGAUUGUGUUUUGUUUUUGAAGGCGGGCAAAAAAUAAAAGUUGAGAAGAGAGAAAAAUUAUUUAUGUGCCCAAUGUUUAUCGUUGAUUGAAAAUAUGUUGCUAUUAAAGGUGCAAAGUUCAGCGCAAAUGAAAUUUUGUGUGAAUUAAUGAUUUCAUGUUACAACGCUGUGUUUUGUUGUAUUUUUGGUUGCUGUGCAACAGUGUGCUCAGUGUUGUCAGCGGUUUGACCAGCUUCUUUGGCCUUAAACCUUUUGUGUUUUUGUUAGCGCGUUGUGUUGUUGCGGUCUAGUGUACGAUUAUGUAACUUUUUUCCCAAGCGUUUACAGUCUUCUUGCGAGCGAGCGCCUAAUAAUAAUCAAAGCAGGCAAGAGAAUACAAAUAAAAUACUAAAGAUAAAGCAAGCGAUUAAUGAUUGCGCGUUCUGCAAGUAUUCGUGUAAAUUUUGUGAUUUUGUAAAAGUGAUUGAAUGUCUAUGCGCGAAGUGGGAACAAGUGAAUCACAACAAAAAUCAGCUGCUGAUCAAUAAAGACAUCAGGUAUAUCGUCGCGCGCUAUUUAUAGCGUUGGCCAGGAAGGCCGGCAAAAUUAAGCAUUCUAUUAAGAUUUUGUAAGCGUUUCGCUUAAUGUGUCAUUUCGCACAUGAAACGCGACAAGCAUCUACGCGCGUUCAUAUAAAGUUCAAAUUAAACGCGUCGCGCGGUUAGCCAAAGAAACGUGCCAAACAAAGCAAACUGCAAAAAUAAAACCAUAAAGUUCGUGAAAAAGCAAUCAGACAACAGCGCUACGAUCAAGUGCAAAUAAAUAGAAAGAAAGGUGACCGCGCUGUUUGUUUGCCGUUCGUACGCUUGAGCGCUGCUUAUGCCGUCUGCAGACGCGCCGCAACGCGUUACUCCGCAGCCUAUACCUGUGCCGGUUGCUAACAAUCAAGCAAGAAAAUAAACAUAUAAACGAUUAAUUCUUAACGCGCGUUCCUCACUUUUGUAUCUUUUGCCCGAUUUAUCGCUUGUAUUGACAAAUUGCCGUUUAUUAGUCGUGUUUUUGUGGCGGUCGUCGAACGCGUUGCUCAAAUUUAAUUAGACGCGCACUUAAGUAAAUAAACGCGUUUGUGCGCGCGGUGGAAAGACAGAAAGUGUUAGACGCGCAGCGCGGCAGGCGCGUUCCUAAAAGCUUGAGCGCUUGGUCAAUUGGACGUGCACGAUUUACGCGCAGUUGUGUGAGACGUUUGGUAGCGUGGUUAAACCGACAUCGCGAAUAUAAGGGCACGCAAAUUAAGAGUUCGACAGUUGGAAUACGAUUUUCUAUGUGAAAAAAUUACUCUUAAUUUAUCAAGGCGGUGAAAAUUGUGAUUUUUCCCAAAUUAUCUAAAUGCUUUGGCUCUCACUUGUACACUCAGCGCAUUGCCGCACCGUGAUCGUUUCAACUAAAUUUAACUUCUCUAUUGACAAGUGUGUGCGGAAGCGUUUCGAUUCUAUCACACAAUGCGACAACCUGUCAGCAGCGUGAGUUUCAUUCUUAGCCAAGCGCUUGCAAUAAGAGGCAGUCAGCUGUUUAGUUAAAGACACACGUACUAUACAUACAUACAUAGUAUGUUGAUAUAAGAAGGAGAGCAACAAAGUGUGCGGCGCUAAAAAUAAACGCAAGUGCACCAUUCUAAAAGCAAAAAGAUAAUCGAAAGAAAGUGAGGCAAAGUGAAAAAACGCUUGGCGCUGAUUUAUGCCACAAUUAGCGGCGAGCUGCGUCGGCUUAUAUGUAUAAAAAGUGUUGACAAUAACACAACGCUUGAACACAUUUGUGAGACGUGCAACCGCAGGUGGCAAGUUGUGAUAUAAAGAAUGCGCGCAUUGUUAUUCAAUAAAAAGUGAUACUUAUUGUUGUAACGAUAAUUUUUGUUGUGAAAAUAUUUUUGUUAUUAGAAUAAAUCAUAAUAUAUAUAUUUAGCACAUACGUAUAUGGCCAUUUAAUCGGCGUUCGUGCAAAAUCAAAGUGUUUUAUUGUGAAAUUAAAUUCUAAUUAAAUCUAUUAAUUGGCCAAAAUGUUUUCUUACGCAAAAAUUUUCUAAAAUCGGUUAUUUUAUUUUUCUAGUUGCUAUUGUUUUUUGCAGUUUUGUGCUGUGUUUUCGAUAAUCGACCCAACAUAAAGGUGACGUGUUGUGUUAAUUAUUUGCAUAGUGUUAUAUCAAAGGGAAGUUGCCGACGAUAUUAUAACAACAAUAUACAUAAUUAAUAACAACAACCAAAAAUAAAAAAAAAAUACAGCAACAAACAUAAUAAUUAAAGCGCAUCAAAAAGAAGUUAAAUAUCACCCAUCAGGCGUUUAUAACACGCAUUAAGCCAUAUUAAGCGCUUUAAAGCUAUACGGCAACAACAGUGAGGAAAAGUGUGCGUACCAAAUUUGUUUUUACUACCUUAUUUACACACACACACACACCUGCGCAAGUAUGGCUCACGCCGUCGAAAUUGCCGGCAAACGGAAUGCCACAAAGCCAAUCACAGCAGCAGCAGCA